ensembl:lncRNA
GUCAGGAGUGGUGGUGCGUGCCUAUAGUCCCAGUUACUCAGGAGACUGAGGCAGAAGAAUCGCUUGAGCCCAGGAGUUUGAGGGUGCAGUGAGCCAUCACCACACCACUGCAGGCCAGCCUAGGUGACAGAACAAGACCCCAAUCUCUAAAAAACAACAACACAAAGUUAGUCUUGCGUUAAGAAAAGAAACAACCCCAAAAUGUGAAUCAAGAGCCUUGACAGUGAUUGAAAGUAAUUAUUUAACUUAUCUUAAAAUCCAGGUUUGAAUAUAAAAAAUGUUUACCAAAUGUGCUUAAUUUCUCCCCAUUAUAGAAGAAAUGUGACACUUCAAACUUUUGAUUAUGGUAUAUGCACUUAAUACAUUGCAUUUUUACAGAUUUUAGUCUAACCAGUAAUUCAGAAAGGCAUUAAAACAAAACAUAAAUUGAAACUUUAUUUUUAUAUAAAAAUUUAUCACACUGUUUGAGUUCAUUUUUUAAAAAUACUUUUGUAUUUGUCAUUGAAACUGUUGAGGCUCUCAAAUUCCAUAGCUAAUGACUGUGUUUCUUUAGCUGAAUAAUUCUUUCAACUAAAGACAUUAAGUGUACAGAGUCAUCUUUCAGCUCUUGUAGCUGCUUCUUCUGUGUAUUAGCAACAAGAGUAUGAAAACAGAAACAAUAGGACUCUAAGUUGAACAAAGGCUUUCAUUUCAUGGUAAGCCUGUUUUACACCUACAAUGAGUGACAUCAGUCUUUCUUUCUUACAAAACGUAUUAUAAGUAAAAUAGGAUAUAAUAAUAGGUUAUCUCAGCAACAGAAAUAUGACUCACAAGUAGAAACAGAAACAUGGAAAACACAAGUGCUUCUUCUAACAGAACAAUCUGUAUACUGAUUAUUUAAAGUUUUAUGACUGUGUACUAAUUUCAAAGAAAUAUGUAGGCCAAGCACCUUACAUGCCAAACACCUUACAGAACUGAAGACAUUCUAAGUAACAGUUUGCCUAUAUUCUUUCACAAAUAUCCCCCCUUAAUGGCCUCCUCACACUAAAAUGUGAUAAUAAAUACAUUUUCAUGGAGCCAGGUAUGGGGAAACAGAAAAAGAAAGUAAUUUGAACCGAAGAGAAGAUGGUGUGAAAACUGAACUCCUGAAAGCAUGACUGGUCUGCUAACCAAGGACAUGAAUAGUACUAAUAAGGAAUUUCCUCAUUAAAGAGUGAAAGAAUGAAACAGCCAAUGUAGAAGUGUAUACUCUGCUAAAAUAGACUUCGAGAUGAAAGUGAGGAUUCUCCCAUUUCUAGCCAUGAUCAUGUUAACUGAAACCAGACUAGCUCUCUUGACAUUAACAACUAUAAAACUGCACACUGAAUAAAACAUAUGAAGUCACUGUGUUUAGGUACCAGACAACAGGUAGCACAAGACUGCAAUUCCUGAGGGGAUGGACAUUUACAGGGUGAGCCCUUAGAUAAACAAGUUAUUUGCCAAAGAACAGUUUCCCAACUGCAGUGCAGAUAGCUGGGAUCUGAGCACAGGACAGCAGUUCUGCAGCAAUGAGGACAUUCAGGGCAGCUGGUGAGGGUGGAGUCUCUGAGGUAUGGUAUCAAAGAAGAACUGUGCAGAGGUAAGCACCAGAUGUCCUUGUGGAGUCUUCCCCAAAUUCCUGGCUGAGUGCGAGGCUGCAUCAAUGCACAGACAAGACUAUCCAAGGCUUACCAGAGAGGUAAGCCUUAAGGAAGAACUAUCCCAGAAUGGAGGAGAGUAAGAAAACACAAUAAUGAAUUGCAACACUGGAUUCUGGAUUGCACCAUAAGGUGGACAGCGGUGGGACAACUGAUGAAACUCAAAUAAGGUCUGCAGAUCAGUUAACAGCAUCAUGUCAAUAUUAGUUUUCUGGUUUCAAUAAUUUUAUUAAGGCUAUGCAACAUUAGAGGAAGCUGAAUGAAAAACACCAAUUCACCAUACUAUUAUUGCAACUUCUUUGUAAGUCUAAAAUUAUUUUAAAAUAAGUUAGACAGUAGUUUAAAUGUUGCAUAUAAAAAUGCAAUAACGAUAAUGAAUACUUCCUAACGAUGCAAUCAGGAUGCCUUCACAUGCUCCCUCACACCUGAAAUAAGUGUUAUGUAUCUAAGGCUCUCUCUUCAGCGUUUUGUAUCUAAGGCUCCCCUGCCCUUUGGUGUGGCCUGGUUUAGCCAGUCCAAACCAGAUGCAGAUAGUUGUGUGGGAAGCUUGGCGACACAGACAGUUCCACUAUCACCCACAAGAUAACUGGUCAAUUGUGGGCUGGGCUUAAAAGGUGGGCUGAUGAUCCCCAGUGCAUGAUGAGCAUGGCAGUAAAUGCACAGGGAGACUAGGUUCCCAUCCACCAAGGGAAGCCUGCACUAGAGUGUCCACCUGGACAGGAAGUGAUGGACACAGUCCUGAAAGCACAGCAGGCACUGCUCCCACCCACCAAUGGGCAGCCUGCCUGGAGAGUCAGCCGUGGACGUCCAGGCUGGAAUUCCCUUUCUGGCUCAGCAAAAUUACCAGAGACCAAACCAUAGACACCAUAGAACUCCUUUACCUAGUCAACACUGUCUGACUCUUUCGUGACGUAAGUCUCAAACCAAGAACACCAACAGGGACAGGGCCACACAUCUCAACACUGACACCACACCCCCUUGACACUCAGAAUGCUUAAGUCCUGAAUCACAAGAUCUCAACUUCUUUUUUGGAAAGGUGUUUCUUUAUCUCAUGAUUUACAAAGAUACAAAGACUAGAUCAGAAGGACCAAAAUACUUUCUGAAAUUAGAAACAAAAUUAUUAUAACAUUCAAAUAGAAUCAUUCCCACGAACAAACCAUGACUCACAGAAUUUAAUUACUAAGUAGCUGUCGUUUUUACACCUCUUUCCUUUUAAAUUUAUUCUUUUUUAUUUUAAAAAAUAAAUAGAGAUGGAGUCUCCCUAUGUUGACUCGCUAUGUUGAUGAGAAUGGUCUCAAACUCCUGGCCUCAAGUGAUUCUCCCAUCUCGGCCUCCUAAAGUGCUGGAAUUACAGGCAUGAGCCACCUCUUGCAGCUUAAAUGUAUUCUGUAGUGCUAGUUCUUCCCCCGCCCCAGGAUAAAAGUUAGGUCAAAUCCCAUUAAUUUUUCUGGUGAUUUUAUUUAAUAAAUAUCUGACCAUGACUCAUUUAAAAUGGCCUUACGUAUAUAAAAGUGAAAACGACAAUCUUGAUUUAAACUUACAUUUUCACUGUCUCUUCCAGUUCUGAUCUGCAGUCAAGUGGAAGCCUGAACUCGAGGAAGGGAAGGCCCUCUGACUCAUGAUUUCCGACCUAGCACGGUUAAGAAUCUUCCCCCAUUUGCUGACUUAGUUUCUGAAUCUACUGUGUUUAGGGCUCAAGGAGAGAAGCCAGGGAGCAAUAGAGUUCUUCCUUGAUGGGCAGCAUUGUGGUGAUCUAACAUUGACACUGUCCUGAGGUUGCAAAUACUUGAAACUGACUCUUUCCUUUAGGGGAGACUUUUGGCUUCUAGGCAGAAAUCUCUCAUCUGAGCUUCCUUUGAUGAGGGCAAUUUCAUCUGGAUAUUUACAACCCUUAUCCACCAUGCAAAGUUUCUGAUUCAAAUCCAGGCUGCAACCGAGCUGACAGGAGUGGUGCAGACAAUGAUGUAGCCAAAGCAGAUAGGUACCUGCCAUUCACCGACGACGUAUAAAUGUUUCCAAAGCGCCUGAGGCCUGGAAACUCCGGUGGCUGGUUGGGGGAUCAUGGCCAGGGGCGGCGGAGAACAUCUGAGCCCCUGUGUGACCUCGGUCUCAUUCGGGCUAUGGGGGUGCAAACAGGUUCCAAUCCGCGAGGAGGAUGCACUAAAGUGACCCGCUUAGGCUGCAAAACCAGGUGCACUGUGGCAGGCACGACUCGCUGAGCUCCAUUUUGGAGGCGGGGAACUCUGAGGCGGCGACUUGACACCCCUCCUGGGCAGCCAAAACAAACCAUUGCGGAGGAUUCUUGUCCCACGCAAGGAGCGACCUCAGCCAUGAACUCUGCAGCAUCACAAGUGUCCAGAACGCCCGGAAGUGGCAACGCCUACUGACACCAAGGCGGCCACUGAAACGGAAACUUGGUGGCCAAGGCCGCCUCACCCAUGCGCCUGCGCGAGCUCU